CCAAGGAGUUUAGCGUGUACGCGAGUCAUUGGGUUCUAACGAAACCCAAAGGCGAAAUGAAAGUGAAGGGAACUUUACGUUUCUGAGGGAAGAUGAGUCGGUUACCCGCAAGGGGCCACUCCGCACUCCCGGGGCGUCUCUAUCUCAUUGCGAGAGGAGGCGCACCCAGAGCGUACACGCUGAUACCCGAAAGAUGGUGAACUAUGCCUGGCCAGGACGAAGCCAGGGGAAACCCUGGUGGAGGUCCGCAGCGAUUCUGACGUGCAAAUCGAUCGUCGGAGCUGGGUUUAGGGGCGAAAGACCAAUCGAACCAUCUAGUAGCUGGUUCCCUCCGAAGUUUCCCUCAGGAUAGCUUGCGCUCAUUCGAAACGAGUCUCAUCCGGUAGAGCGAAUGAUUAGAGGCCUUGGGGUCGAAACGAUCUCAACCUAUUCUCAAACUCCAAAUAGAUGAGAACUCCGGCUUUCUUGAAUGAAAAUUUUUGAAGCCGGGGGCUUGGAUCAGAGUGCCAAGUGGGCCAAUUUU
rnacentral:rRNA from 1 species